GACGAACGCUGGCGGCGUGCUUAACACAUGCAAGUCGCACGAGGACGAACCUUCGGGUUCGAGCCGAGUGGCGGACGGGUGAGUAACGCGUGGGAAUCUACCUUGGAGCGGGGGACAACCCGGGGAAACCCGGGCUAAUACCGCAUACGUCCUAAGGGAGAAAGAGGGCCUCUGCCUGCAAGCUCUCACUCCAAGAUGAGCCCGCGUCCGAUUAGCUAGUUGGUAGGGUAAAGGCCUACCAAGGCCACGAUCGGUAGCUGGUCUGAGAGGAUGAUCAGCCACACUGGGACUGAGACACGGCCCAGACUCCUACGGGAGGCAG
rnacentral:rRNA from 1 species